GGAGGAGGAAGGGCCUCAUUCCAGAUGGAUCACUGGGCACCCUGACCAGGGAAGGAGGUGGACGCACGAUGGAGACAGCAGUCCCAGGAAGAGGAUGGAUCUGAAAAGAGAAAGUUAAAGGUCUCCAUUUCUGUGAUCUCAUCGGAGGAGGAGGCCUCCAGAUCUUCCUUUGGAGGACUAGAGAAGAGGAAGAGAAAACAGCAAAACAUUAGUCACAGAACCCUGUGAAGCAAUUUAGAAGGGAAAAAAACAACCAGAAGAGAAGGGGGAAGGGCUUACCUUACGGGGUAUAUUUUAAUACUCCUCCUCCCCCGACAGCAUUUGCAACAAUUUAAACAUAAUUUCUGGAUGUUCUGCAAAAGAGAAAGGAGAACAAGGUUUGUAGGUUGUGUUUCUUCAUCAGUUUGCCUAUGCGGUCAAGGUUGGACUUCUGCAAUGCUAACGAAGAAACACAACCUAGAAACUAUCUACAGACCCACUAAGAAAAUCCAACAAAUGCUCCAUUCAGCAAAGGAGAAGAGGGAUCCUCUCACCUCUGCAGGAGUCUACCGUAUACCAUGCAGCUGUGGACAAGUCUACAUAGGGACCACCAAACGCAGCAUUGCCCAGAGACGAGUCAAAGAACAUGAAAGGCACUGCAGACUAACUCAACCAGAGGAAUCAGCCAUAGCAGAGUACUUGAUGAACCAACCUGGACACAGUAUAUUAUUUGAGAACACAGAAAUGCUCGACCACUCCAACAACUAUCAUGUCAGACUACACAGAGAAGCCAUUGAAAUCCAUAAGCAUGUGGACAACUUCAACACAAAGGAGGAAACCAUGAAAAUGAACAAAAUCUGGCUACCAUUGUUUAAAAAAAACCCUCCAAAAUCAGAACAGUAAAUAAGAAGCAGCACUCUGAAAACAGAAGAAUUCCAGACAGAAAUCAAUCAGGGACAGCUAAUGACUCUGAACAAAGGAUUCCCCCAGGCCAGGAUGUGAGGCUGGGAGGGCCAUUUAAUGCUAACAAAGGUUAUUAAUUACAACAUUCACACUGGCCUCCAACAGACAAGAGUUCUUCCCCCCACCUAGGAACUUCCACAGAUAUAUAAACCUUCCUUGCUUAGUUUCUCCAUACCUCACAACCUCUGAGGAUGCCUGCCAUAGAUGUGGGCGCAAUGUCAGGAGACAAUACUUCUGGAACAUGGCCAUACAGCCCGGAAAACACACAACAACCCUUUAGAGAAGCUAUUUUUUUGGUUUUUCUUAUUUUGCAACCUAGUUUUGGUCCCUCUUUUUUGUAAAAUUGUUCUAAUAGUACUUGAAGAAAUGAGAGGAGGAGGAAAAAGAGGAAGAAGUCUUUUGGGUAAUUAACAGACCAUGAGGCAACACAUUAAUAUUUAUUAGAACAAAAUAAAGAAAUCAUCUUAAAUACAAAUAUCAUUAGAAAAAAAUACAAUAAUAUAAAACAUAUGUUAUUUCCGAUAUCACAGUUUGUUGUGGAGUCACAGGCCAAUGCGGGUAUAAUUCAAAAGUAUUAUUUAAUAUCCAUAAAAAUAGUAUGAAAGAUUGAUUACAUUUUAAACUGGAGAAUAGAUCCAAAUGCUAUUAAUGUAACAUAAUCUUAUGGGUUUUAACAGCAGAAAAUAAGUUUGCAAAUACUUCCGUUCUCAGAAGCCACCAAUUUCUGUAAAAGGACAGAGGAAUGGAGAGUUGGGAUCCCUCUCUGCAAGAAGUCCAGAUCCAACCCAAAGUGAACUGCUCAGGUAUUCUCAAACUGGUUCGUAAACCUGUUUGGAGCACCGUUUCUUGCGAUAAACCAAAUGACUAAUGAAAUUGUAAUUAUCUUCUGAUUCUCCUUGUGGAGAUUCUUUUUGGUAUGGGCCAUCAUUCCUUUCUAUGAGCCCCAAAUGCAAUAAAAUAGUCCAGAUAUAUACCCCACAGGCUUACUGUGACAAAUAGACUGUAGGGGACAUUCCCCUUACAGAUGGUCCUAUUUUCCAACACAAAUGCUGCUUCCCAGACAUUAAACUGAUUGGAAUAAUCUAAAAUAUGCCUCAUUUUCCAUGAGGAAUCCCAACCUAGCAAAUAAAACAAUAUGUUAUCCAUGUUUCCUGCAAUGCUUCAAAGUGUAGAUGACCAAACAACCAGGUAUCGGCAGGCGGCCCCUUUAAUUUCCAUUCCACCUAAGUCACAGAGACUACAAAAACAACAUUUUAAUUUAAAAUUCAAUUUCUGACUCUGCAUCUUUUCACUGGCACUGCCACAGAGCGGGUAUUUCAUUAAAGGGUUUAAUAGAUUUUGUGAGUUGUUAGAUUCAAAAAGGUUAUGCAUUCUCUCUGCUUCCAGGAUUCAGACAGCAGUCCAGUAAACAAAUUUACCACGAAAAUAGAGGCAGGAUGCUGAAAAGGGGGAGGAUGGACACCCCCAUGGAUAUAGUUAUGUAUGGAGGGGGCAGACCCAUUUGUUCCAUUUACUGAUCAUGUUGACAUCAGGGCUUUUGAAAAAAAGAGUCUGUGAUGAAAUUUAUUUGAAAAGCAUUCCCAAUAAUGACAGAUUUAAAACAAGCUUCUCCAGGACUGAUUGGUAAACUCUUAAAGAACUAGCCAAUGACAAAAACAUCAUAUGGAAACCUGCUGACAAGGGGGGUGCCAUCGUUGCAAUGAACACAACGAAUUAUAUGCAGGAGGUAUAUAGACAACUGUCAGUCAAAGAGCAUUAUUCUCUUGUAGAUAAAGUCCCGACCAAACAUAUUCAAUUCAUCAUAAGAACCAUAAUUCUGGAAGGACUUGGUUUAGAUUAUAUCACAGAAAAAGAAAAAAGAUUUCCUUAUGACCUCACAUCCAUGCAUUCCGGUCUUAUAGACACUACCUAAAAUACACAAAGACAUCAGGCCACCUUUGGGCCGGCCCAUUGUAUCUGGGUCUGGCUCAGUCCUCGAACCACUAUCCAGAUUGGUUGACUCUUUUUUACAGCCCUUUGUCAAACAAACUAUGUCAUAUAUCAAGGACACCAAACAUUUCAUUAACAUCAUAGAGAAACAGAGUAAUAUGGGACAGAUGAGACAAUAGGGGAUAUGCAACCCAAAAUAGAGUUUGGCUACUCUCAACAAAUUCAAGUCUCCAGAGCCAGAUGAACGAUGUCCAUGAAUAUUGAGGGAACUGGCAGAAGUCAUUUCAGAACCACUGGAAAUAAUCUUUGAGAAUUCUUAGAGAACAGGAGAAGUCCCAGCAGAUUGGAGGAAGGCCAAUGUUGUCCCUAUCUUCAAGAAGAGAAAAAAAGGACGCUAACUAUUACUGUGCAGGCAGCCUGACGUCAAUACCAGGAAGGAUUCUGGAGCAGAUCAUUGAGGAGGCAGUUUGCAACCACUUAGAAAAGAAUGCUAUGAUCACUAAAAUUCCCCAGUGAUUCUCAAAACAGGUCACGCCAGACUAAUCUUAUCUGGGGAAGAGAAGGUUGAGAGGGGACACAAUAGUCAUGUAUAAAUAUUUGAAAGGAUAAGGUAGAGGGAGCAGGCUUGUUUUCUGUUGCCCUGGAGAUUAGAACUCGGAGCAGUGGGUUAAAAAUUACAGGAAAGGAUAUUCCACUUGAUCAUUAGGAAGAACUUUCUGACUAUAAGAGCUGUUCAACAUUGGAAUUCACUGCCUCAGAGUGUGGUGGAAGCUCCUGCUUUGGAGGCUUUUAAACAAAGCCUGCAUGGCUUUCUGUCAGGGGUACUUUGUGCUUCUCCUGCAUGGCAGAGGGUUGGACUAGAUGGCACAUGUGGUCUCUUCCAACUGUUCUUACAGAUAAUCUAGGUCUCUGUAGCGGAGACCAGAAAGCGAGUGAGUUAGGGAUUGGAGUGAGAAGAAUCCGGGUUUGGAGUUUUGAAAAGGAAGGAAGGAAGGUUUUAGGAACUGUUAGUGAGAAAGCUCUUUGAGGGAAAAGUUAAACUAGGGCUAUGAAUUGUAGCGAGCCUCUACGGGUGAAUAGUGCUUGUGUUAAGAGCCUCUGGAAGAGAGGACUCAAAGGUUCAAAAAUCACACAGACAGACUACAAACAGAGGCACAACUAUGUGGCCCAAAUGAUUCAUUGGAACUUAUGCCUCAAGUACCACCUGCCAGCAGCAAAGAACUGGUGGGGUCACAAACUUGCAAAAGUAUUGGAGAAUGAGCAUGCAAAGAUACUGUGGGACUUCCGAAUCCAGACUGACAAAGUUCUGGAACACAACACUACAGACAUCACAGUUGUGCAAAAGAAAAAGGUUUGGAUCAUUGAUGUUGCCAUCCCAGGUGACAGUUGCAUUGACGAAAAACAACAGGAAAAACUAAGCCGCUAUCAGGACCUCAAGAUUGAACUUCAAAGACUCUGGCAGAAACCAGUGCAGGUGGUCCCGGUGGUGAUCGGCACACUGGGUGCCGUGCCAAAAGAUCUCAGCAGGCAUUUGGAAACAACAGACAUUGACAAAAUUACGAUCUGCCAACUGCAAAAGGCCACCCUACUGGGAUCUGUGCGCAUCAUCCGAAAAUACAUCACACAGUCCUAGACACUUGGGAAGUGUUCUACUUGUGAUUUUGUGAAACAAAAUCCAGCAUAUCUAUCUUGUUUGCUAUGUCAUACAAUAAUAAUAAUAAUAAUAAUAAAAACCAAGAACUUACUUUUAGCAGUCUCCGGGCAGACAUGUUUGUCUCUGUACAAGACCAGAAGACAAUAGAGAUGGCAACGUUCCGUUUUGUCUUCCUGUCACAGACGGAACCGGUCUGCUUCGGAACUGCAUUCUCAUGACAAUGGUGUAAACCAAGGGGCCCCAGACUCCAGGGAAGUGAUGGCCCCUUUCUGAACCCAUAUACAUUGGGUAGUUGCACUACCAAAUUAGAAAACAGUGUUAACAAAUUAAAAAACAAUUAGAAGAAAAAAGUGUCCAACGCAUUAUACAUGGCCUCCAAAAUCAUGACCAGAAGACCUCUCGGAAAUCCACUCAUUUGUAAAAAAACAUUCAAGGGUUGCCACAUCCCCUGUCUGUCUGAGAACAGACGCUGGUCCCACCAGUUACAAACACAUAUUUAGUUAUAUCAUGCAAAAGUGAAUGAAACUACCCAAUCUACAGUUGUCUCUGUUGUCCAAGGCCACCUUUCACCUAUAUAUGUUUUCUCGUUUCUGGCCAUUCCAGUUAGAUAAGCGAGUGUUGGAUAAGUGAGACUACUGUAUCUUUAAGGUUAAUAAAUAGUACAAAGUAUAGUCCCACAUCAUCAGGAGAUUGAACUCCUUUCAAUUUAAACAAUAUUACAAUAACUGUGAAUUGGUCCAAAAGAUUUAAUUCAUAAAGCCAAAAAGAGAGAUGUUACUCAAACAUGCUGCAUCAAAUAUUGCAUUGUGGUACUCUGCACUUUUAAACCCCCCUUAUAAUAAUAAUAUAAUACAUUUUAUUUAUACCCCACCCCCUCUCCCCAAAGUGACUUGGGGAGACUUCCUGAUCUUCAAUAAGCUGUUCCUUUCGUCUUUAUCAAGCAGCUCACAAAUUGCUUGUUCUUGAAGUGGGUGUCCUGGUCAAAGUUUAAUUAUUUUUCAAAGUUGGUUUAUAGCAUCUACAUUUACCGCUAGGAGAGAUCAUCUGGAGGCAUGGGGCAGGGGGCUAUCAGUAUGCUGAUGACACCCAAAGAUGUUUCUCCAUGCCAUGAAAAACACUGUUAUCUCAGGAUAGCGGGUCUCCUUGGAAUGAAUGCCUGGAGGAAGUAAUGGGCAGGAUGAGGAGAAACAAAUUGAAACUGAAUCCAGACAAGACAUCGAGAGCACUAUGGGUGGAUCAACCAGUUCUGGAUAGGGUUACACUCCCCAUUAAAGUCUUUGGUCUCAGCUUGUGGGGGGUGCGCCCCUCGAUCCCUCUCUUGAAAUGUAAGAACAGGAAGAUGUGAUGGUCAGGAGUGCUUAGUACCAGCUUCAGCUGAUACGCCAGUUGUGCCCCUUCCAAGAAUUGCAGGACCUUAAGAAGGCUGGAUUCCUGCAAUGCUCUUUACAUUGGGCUGCCUCUGUACCAAGUUUGGAAAUUCCGAUUAGUUCAAAACAAGGCAGGGAAACUAGUUAUAGGAACAUCUAGGAGUGAUUCCACUGGUUUUGGAAAGCCUACCCAGUCUGUUUUAACUAUGGCUUUUACAUCAUAUUCUGUGUUUUUGUAUUUUAAUAUGUGCAUGUUUUAAAAUAUGCACUUCUGGUUGCAUUUAACUUAGCUUUCUUACAUGAUUUCAUAGAUGUAUUUAAUUAGGUUGUGUCUUCCCUCAGGCCACAUAGAGAGGUAAGCAAUAAAUAAAAGAUGAUGAUUAUG